GUUGAUAAGGUUAAGUGAAUAAGGGCGCACGGUGGAUGCCUUGGCACUAGGAGCCGAUGAAGGACGGGACUAACACCGAUAUGCUUUGGGGAGCUGUAAGUAAGCUAUGAUCCAGAGAUUUCCGAAUGGGGGAACCCAAUAUCUUUUAUAGGAUAUUACUUUUCAGUGAAUACAUAGCUGAUUAGAGGUAGACGCAGAGAACUGAAACAUCUUAGUACCUGCAGGAAGAGAAAGAAAAUUCGAUUCCCUGAGUAGCGGCGAGCGAAACGGGAAGAGCCCAAACCAACAAGCUUGCUUGUUGGGGUUGUAGGACUCCAAUAUGGUAGUCUGUUAGUAUAGUUGAAGGAUUUGGAAAAUUCCGCUAAAGAGGGUGAAAGCCCCGUAGACGAAAUGCUAACAACACCUAGGAGGAUCCUGAGUACGGCGGAACACGAGAAAUUCCGUCGGAAUCCGCGGGGACCAUCCCGCAAGGCUAAAUACUCCCUAGUGACCGAUAGUGAACCAGUACCGUGAGGGAAAGGUGAAAAGCACCCCGGAAGGGGAGUGAAAUAGAUCCUGAAACCGUGUGCCUACAACAAGUCAAAGCUCGUUAAUGAGUGAUGGCGUGCCUUUUGUAGAAUGAACCGGCGAGUUACGAUUGCAUGCGAGGUUAAGUCGAAGAGACGGAGCCGCAGCGAAAGCGAGUCUGAAUAGGGCGAAUGAGUAUGUAGUCGCAGACCCGAAACCAUGUGAUCUACCCAUGUCCAGGUUGAAGGUGCGGUAAAACGCACUGGAGGACCGAACCCACGUACGUUGAAAAGUGCGGGGAUGAGGUGUGGGUAGCGGAGAAAUUCCAAACGAACUUGGAGAUAGCUGGUUCUCUCCGAAAUAGCUUUAGGGCUAGCCUCGGAAUUGAGAAUGAUGGAGGUAGAGCACUGUUUGGACUAGGGGCCCAUCUCGGGUUACCGAAUUCAGAUAAACUCCGAAUGCCAUUCAUUUAUAUCCGGGAGUCAGACUGCGAGUGAUAAGAUCCGUAGUCGAAAGGGAAACAGCCCAGACCACCAGCUAAGGUCCCAAAAUAUAUGUUAAGUGGAAAAGGAUGUGGGGUUGCACAGACAACUAGGAUGUUGGCUUAGAAGCAGCCACCAUUUAAAGAGUGCGUAAUAGCUCACUAGUCGAGUGACCCUGCGCCGAAAAUGUACCGGGGCUAAACAUAUUACCGAAGCUGUGGACUACACCAUUAGGUGUAGUGGUAGGAGAGCGUUCUAAGGGCGUUGAAGGUCGAUCGUGAGGACGGCUGGAGCGCUUAGAAGUGAGAAUGCCGGUAUGAGUAGCGAAAGACAGGUGAGAAUCCUGUCCACCGUAUGACUAAGGUUUCCUGGGGAAGGCUCGUCCGCCCAGGGUUAGUCGGGACCUAAGCCGAGGCCGAUAGGCGUAGGCGAUGGACAACAGGUUGAUAUUCCU
rnacentral:rRNA from 1 species